UGCCUAUCUUUCUGUCGGGGACGGGCUCUUGGGCUUCAUUGUCCGGGACUCGGAGUCGACGUGGUUACUUUGAGUAAAUUAGAGUGUUCAAAGCAAGCGUUCGCUGUGAAUACAUUAGCAUGGAAUAACACGAUAGGACUCUGGCUUAUCUUGUUGGUCUGUAAGACCGGAGUAAUGAUUAAGAGGGACAGUCGGGGGCAUUCGUAUUUCAUUGUCAGAGGUGAAAUUCUUGGAUUUAUGAAAGACGAACUUCUGCGAAAGCAUUUGCCAAGGAUGUUUUCAUUAAUCAAGAACGAAAGUUGGGGGCUCGAAGACGAUUAGAUACCGUCGUAGUCUCAACCAUAAACGAUGCCGACUAGGGAUUGGCAGGUGUUUCGUUGAUGACCCUGCCAGCACCUUAUGAGAAAUCAAAGUUUUUGGGUUC
rnacentral:rRNA from 1 species